rnacentral:rRNA from 1 species
ACGUCGUAGGUGAACCUGCGGAAGGAUCAUUA